UACCAGCACCCCGAGUGGUCGGGACGUUUAUUGGGCCUAAAGCAUCCGUAGCCGGUUCUACAAGUCUUCCGUUAAAUCCAGCUGCUUAACAGAUGGGCUGCGGAAGAUACUAUGGAGCUAGGAGGCGGGAGAGGCAAGCGGUACUCGAUGGGUAGGGGUAAAAUCCUCUGAUCCAUUGAAGACCACCAGUGGCGAAGGCGGCUUGCCAGAACGCGCUCGACGGUGAGGGAUGAAAGCUGGGGGAGCAAACCGG
rnacentral:rRNA from 1 species